GGGUUGUUAGUUUAAUAAAACAUUUAAUUUCGACUUAAAAUUUUAUGGUUAAAACCCAUAAUGACCUU
rnacentral:tRNA from 1 species